UUUCUCCUCUGCUGAAUAGACCCAAAGCCUGGGUUUUUGUACCCAGCAUGUGAUUCAGGUCGCACGAACCAUCGCGAUAGAUGUGGACCACUACUGACCGUAACGUCACUGUGUGGUUUUGAAGGAGAUGACAGAGAACCCCUGUGCAGAGACGCAGAGAGCCGCGGAGCUCCAGGAGCCAGGCCAAGUCAGCCAGCUCAUGUAGUGCCAAGGCCCUUUCUUCCUCAGCUUCCCCAAAGCGAACCAUUUGUACUCCUGAGCUCUUCCAGUGAUGGAGAUCUCACUUGCUGAACACAUCUUUGGAAGGAUAAAACCACUAAAAGUUCCUUCAUCAGAUGAACUAAAAUCUGCCAACCUGUAACUUUCCGUCUGCUUGCUGUACAUUUUCUCUUUGGGAAAAUACAAGUUUCACCUGACUCACCUUCGAUAGGGUAACUGUUCAAAUAUUGGAAGACCACUGUCACCAUCUCCUUGCAUGUUCUCUUCAUGCACUGUGCUGUCAGGCCAUC
rnacentral:lncRNA from 1 species